CCUACGGGAGGCAGCAGUAAGGAAUAUUGGACAAUGCUCGCAAGAGUGAUCCAGCCAUGCCGCAUGCAGGAAGAAUGCCCUAUGGGUAGUAAACUGCUUUUGAACUAGAGAAAACCCCAGUACGUGUACUGGGCUGAUAGUAUAGUUAGAAUAAGCAUCGGCUAACUUCGUGCCAGCAGCCGCGGUAAGACGAAGGAUGCAAGCGUUAUCCGGAUUCAUUGGGUUUAAAGGGAGCGUAGGUGGACUGAUAAGUCAGUGGUGAAAUCUCCGAGCUUAACUCGGAAAUUGCCAUUGAUACUGUUGGUCUUGAGUACAGUUGCUGUGGGCGGAAUAUGACAUGUAGUGGUGAAAUACAUAGAGAUGUCAUAGAACACCGAUUGCGAAGGCAGCUCACAAAGCUGUAACUGACACUGAGGCUCGAAAGUGCGGGGAUCAAACAGGAUUAGAUACCCUGGUAGUCCGCACCGUAAACGAUGAUUACUCGCUGCUAGGGGGCAACCUUUAGUGGCUUAGCGAAAGCGAUAAGUAAUCCACCUGGGAGUACGCCGGCAACGGUGAAACGUCAAAGAGUAGUUAGGCGGNGNGAGNGCGACGACGACGACGAGGAGGGAGGAG
rnacentral:rRNA from 1 species